CUAAAAAAUAACUUUGACCCUGGAGAUGUUGUGGAUGUUGCCCAUGAGGAUGAAAGUUCACCAGCCACAGUUUUAGACCGUUUCUAAGACAACAAAGAAACUCUCAGGAGGAGGAUGUUCAGGAGAGGGGAAUUUACAGACACAGCACAGAAGAAAUUUCCAGAUGUACCAAUAAAAGUUAUCAGGGCAGCACUCGGAAAAAUUAAAUUAUGAGCACAAGUUACAAGUAAGGGAAAUGGAGUAAAUGCAGCCUGCUGUGAAUUGGAUUCUGCUUUGGUCUACUUUUUUCUUUUAUUCUC